rnacentral:rRNA from 1 species
UGGGGAAUAUUGGACAAUGGGCGCAAGCCUGAUCCAGCGACGCCGCGUGAAUGAAGAAGGCCUUCGGGUUGUAAAGUUCUUUCGCUAGGGACGAUGAUGACGGUACCUAGAGAAGAAGCUCCGGCUAACUCCGUGCCAGCAGCCGCGGUAAUACGGAGGGAGCAAGCGUUGUUCGGAAUUACUGGGCGUAAAGGGCGCGUAGGCGGUCUUAUAAGUUAGGCGUGAAAGCCCUGGGCUUAACCUAGGAAUUGCGCUUAAGACUGUAGGACUAGAGUACGAGAGAGGAAAGUGGAAUUUCCAGUGUAGAGGUGAAAUUCGUAGAUAUUGGAAAGAACACCAGUGGCGAAGGCGACUUUCUGGCUCGUAACUGACGCUGAGGCGCGAAAGCGUGGGGAGCAAA